UGUCUCUUUAAAAGGCAGGACCGUGUGGUUACACCUCCACUCCCUCUCUCAUUCUGUAGAUGAUGUCACUGUGGCUUCCCUUAGACCUUGGACAAAUGAUGUGGGUCUCUGUUUGGCGUUCCUCCUUUUUCCCACCUCCUCUCUCUCUCUCCCACCCCAGUGUCUCCAUCUCGCACUCCACUGCUCUCUUCAUCAACAGAGGGACAGCAGCUGAGGAAACUUGAUAGCACUCCAUCCCCUUCUCUUCUCCUCUUCCCUUUUUCUUAAUAUUCCCUUUUCUUCUCUCUAUCCCUCUUUUAUUCUCCAGCAGCGAUGUAGUCCUUUCUCAAACUUUAACAGCUUUGACUGACAUCCAUCAUUCCUGGACCUCUAUGGAUUCGUUGCUUGCCUCUUUUUGAGAUCUUUCCAGAGUCGCCUCUCUUCAUUCGUCUUGUGAUUACCUUGUGUGUUUGGAUCAUGGCCAUGAAGGAAACUAUACUCCCUAUCAGCGAGGUGUCAAGUCCGUACCCGGAGGUCGUGGAACUCAACGUGGGCGGCCAGGUGUACGUCACCAAGCGCUCCACUCUGGUCAGCAUACCCGACACCACCCUUCACACCAUGUUCACACGGUGCAACCCACACGAGUUGCCCCGCGACAGCAGAGGGCGCUUCUUCAUCGACCGCGACGGCUUCUUGUUCCGAUACGUGUUGGACUUUCUACGGGACCGCCAGCUCGUGCUACCUGAACACUUCCCGGAGCGGGAGCGUCUUCAACGCGAGGCCGAGCACUUCCAGUUGGGGGAACUUUUGAGACUUCUGAGCCCGCGUGUAGCCAAGCAAGGCUCGCUCAACGACGAAGGCUGCCAGAGUGACAUUGAGGAAAGUUCACAGAGUAGCGAGUUGGUGACUCGGACUGGAAACAGCGCCACCAACUAUGCAACUUCAUCUUCCACCCUGGACAAGAGGUCAGGGUUCAUUACGAUUGGUUAUCGGGGAUCCUACACGAUGGUGAGGGAUAACCAAGCCGACGCUAAGUUUAGGCGCGUGGCACGGAUCAUGGUCUGUGGGCGUAUCGCUUUGGCGAAGGAGGUGUUCGGAGACACUCUAAAUGAAAGUCGGGAUCCGGACCGUCCACCAGAGAAAUACACCUCGCGCUUCUACCUGAAGUUCACCUACCUCGAGCAAGCGUUCGACAGAUUGAGCGAGGUUGGGUUCCAGAUGGUGGCCUGCAACUCAACCGGAACAGCUGCGUUUGUUAACCAGUACAGAGACGACAAGAUCUGGAGCAGCUAUACGGAGUACAUUUUCUUCAGACCUGCCUGCAAGUCAGCAUCCCCUAAACUGGAGCGUGAGGAGCCCAAGUCUGAGAAACUUCUGGAUAAGGCCAGUGAGAGCGGAGCCUCGUUGAACGAGCUCUCCACAUCCAGCUCUGAGACCCACUCAGAGGCCACGUCUCCCCAGGACGGGGGCCCCAUCCUGGUGUCCCGUGGUGAGGUCGUAGGGGGCUCCCUGGCCCCAUGUGGCGCCCUGCACUCUGUAUCUCGGCCUCCGAGCACUCUCACUCUAGGCCGACCGCCCAAGAAAGGCUCCUCCGUGCAGUGGAUGGAGCUGCCGGAUAAGAGGAGAAACAGUGAGCUGUUUCAGUCCCUCACCAGUGGAGUGGGUUCGCGGGAAGGUGGGGGAAGCGGUCUAACCCGGAGAAAGACUCUGGAGAGGCCCAAUGCAGAGGAGGAAAUGAAAGAGUGUAUCCGAGAUUUCCGAAAGAUCAAGAUCCCCCCGGCGUUCCCAGAGCGCAAACGGCAGUGGCAGUCAGAACUUCUUCAGAAAUACGGCUUAUAAGGGAAACUCGGGAUAGGGAACUGUUUUAAACUAUCCAAUAUUCACAAUCGCACACAGUAGAUUCUCCAUCAGACUUUGAAGUUGAAAACUUGAGCCAACAAAACAUGUUUGACAGCACCAUUGAUAUCUUUGAACUAGACCUUAUAAACUUUCCAAAAAGUGGUGACGGAGAACUUUUUGACAGGGCUCAUAUUAUAUCUCUUUAAACUACUCAACUGAGGGACUAUCUUUGGUGAUCGAGCCAAAGUGGACGUGCAAAUAAAUCCUUGUGGUGUUCAAAAGAGUGAAGCGUCACUGUGCGUUAACUAGUUGGUCAGUUUGGUUAAAAGCAAUGCAGAUUUAAAGUAAACGCAGUUGUCUCUACCUACUUUUGUUUCAGGGGUGAAUUUAGAUAUAGAUGAUUAGGGCUAUCAAACAAUGAAAAAUUGUAAUCGAAUAAUCAUAUGCUAAUUAAUUAAUCAAAUUGCAGUUACAUAUAUCAGUAUUUGCUAAGAAAAGCCCCCAAGUGUAGGCCGUUCACAUAGGACACUUGUGUUCCGUUACUGUUUGGUUUAUGUACACUUGUUCUAGAUUGAUGUCUUUGGGCUUUGCUUUAUGUCUUCAUCUGUCAUAUCUUUUUUUUUUCCAGCAUAUCCCAAAACCACAUUUCAUUCGCUUCCAUUCAUCUUGAAGGUAAAAAACACAUCCUUUGUGAGCGGCUCUUCACUCAUUCUGUGCUGCUUUUUCUUUGAGCAAUUUGUGAAGGACAUUUUGAUUUGGAAACAAGCAAGAAGGAAAAACAAGGAAGUGUGUUGCUGCAAAUUAUUCAUAAAAACCUAUUGUUGGUCCCAGGGCCAAAGGAGAUGAAGAGGAACACCUUAAUUUAUACAGUGCAGAUUGACCUCCAAAGAUGAUCCGGCCCUCGUUGUUUCCCUUACAGUUUGCCAAACAUUAAUGUGAUAUUAAGAAUUGGUCUUCGUGACCCAAAUUAAUUCUAGUUUAUGUUUGAGCCAAGAAAGAUUUAUUUUAAAAAUGGAAAUAGCCAUGGCGUCAAGCCAGCAGUUUAAUCCACGUGCUGAAAACGGUUCCAAGAUAUUGUUUAUGGCAGUGCGUCAUCCCAGACUCUGGGAAUGAUCUUUCCAUCUGCCGUAGGCUGUGUAUCAAAUGUCAGUGAGCAUUGUGCAUUUCCAUCUCCAUAAAGAUUUGUAUUUGAGAUAUGUUUGAUGAUCGCCCUCCAAUUGAUGUGUGCGAAUGUUUAAAGCACAAUAUUCUGUAAAUGCCGGUUUGAGACAUGACAUGGUCUCAAUCCAGGACACAGGUUUGAAAAGCACAAGGCACAGUCGACCCUGUCAUCCUAGAAAUAUAAUGUUUUAAUGGGUUUAAAUCAGGGCUUAGUGUUAGUCUGCUGUGAAAUCUGAAAUGCUCCUAAAUUUGUAAAGACAAUAGUUGUUAUUUGUCGAUUUGCCUCAGUGUCCUGUAAUAAAAGUGUCAUGUUAUGAA